AAAAUGCGAUACUUGGUAUGAAUUGCAGAAUCCCGUGAACUAUCGAGUCUUUGAACGCAAGUUACGCCCGAAGCCAUUAGGCUUAGGGCACGUCUACCUGGGUGUCACGUAACGUCGUCACCGCCCAUCCCAUGGGCGCAGUGGAUGAUGGCUUCCCGGGAGCC
rnacentral:rRNA from 1 species